GAUGAGAAAGGAGUACCAGAUCUAGGAGUAGCAAUGAGCAGCGAAUCCAAACAGUGGCGGAUUCAAGUAGCAGCGACUCUUCUUCGCGUCCAUUUCUUUCUUUAUUUGGGUCGGAGGUUCGCGGCGCGCAGCGUGCAGCUACGGCGAGAUCGAAUUGUGGUGGUGUUGGAACAAAUAAUUUUAUGUAUAAUGUGGAGAUCUGCAUUUGGGUUUUAGAAGUUUUGUUCAAUCUGGAAACCUCCAGAGGAUCAAAUUGAAUUCUGUGUGUUUAGAUCUAGGUUUAUUAUAAUAGACUGUUUUGUGUAAACAUGAAGAUCUACAUUUAGGCUUCAAAAUAUUUUGUUUAAUUUGGAUACCACCAAUUUGAUCUAUAUAUAAAUAUAUGCAGAU
rnacentral:lncRNA from 1 species